rnacentral:rRNA from 1 species
UACGUAGGUGGCAAGCGUUGUCCGGAAUUAUUGGGCGUAAAGCGCGCGCAGGCGGUCCUUUAAGUCUGAUGUGAAAGCCCACGGCUCAACCGUGGAGGGUCAUUGGAAACUGGGGGACUUGAGUGCAGAAGAGGGAAGUGGAAUUCUAUGUGUAGCGGUGAAAUGCGUAGAGAUAUGGAGGAACACCAGUGGCGAAGGCGGCUUCCUGGUCUGUAACCGACACUGAGGCGCGAAAGCGUGGGGAGCAAACAGGAUUAGAUACCCGUGUAGU